UGCAGGCUGCAACUCGCCUGCAUGAAGCUGGAAUUGCUAGUAAUCGCGGAUCAGCAAGCCGCGGUGAAUACGUUCCCGGGCCUUGUACACACCGCCCGUCACACCAUGAGAGUCGGGAACACCCGAAGUCCGUAGUCUAACCGCAAGGGGGGCGCGGCCGAAGGUGGGUCCGGUAAUUGGGGUGAAGUCGUAACAAGGUAUC
rnacentral:rRNA from 1 species